AUGGAUCUGGGAUGUACGCGUUAUCUCAUAAUGUAAGGUUGACCGAACACCUAUAUAUUUAGGUUUCUAGAGCGGCUGGUAGAUGACAUGCCCAUUUUGGGAAGUUUGAAAUCAGUCUAAAGGAAACCACCUGCUAGCCAGCGGGUUCAACUACAGAGAUGAUUAACGGCAUCAGACGGAUUAGCA
rnacentral:other from 1 species